ensembl:lncRNA
GUUUUAGGCUGUGCUUUGUUUCUCUUGCUACUUAAACAGUGAUUGCUGUUUCUAUUACUCCAGAUGUAACCUGAAGAUUUAACAUCUGCAUCCAAUUAAAAAGCAGUGUUUUCCUACAAAAGGUGAUCCAGGUUGUGCCGAUUGGCUAUGUAUAAUUCUGUAUACAUAUUUGAUGAUCAUUCUGAUGAUGAAAUCCCCACCCAGCAAGCUAUUCAGGAAAGCUUACAAGAUAUUCAUAAAAUGGAAAGAAGUGCCAAUGCAAUAGAGGAUGAAAGUUUCCUGUGCAUUGCAAGUAAAGAACGUGAAGAGAUAAUUGCAGCAAUUCGGACAGUUAAGUACAGAUACUCUACACUACACCCCUCUAGAUCUAGGAAUCACAAUGCCUACGUUCUGUGCUUGAUCAGCUGUUUUAAGUGCAGUUUUUCUUUAUGUGGUCUUGGAGAGAGUUAGGCAACUGAAAGCAGGGCGCACAAAAGCUAGCUUUUACUAAAUAGGAACACAGUAAUGGAGUGGGUUCGUAUGUCCCUCCUCUCUGAGACUGCAGUACUUGAUCUCCUAGAAUCAGGGAUGAAUGCCAGUCCUUUCUCAUAAAAUUAACCACCAGGAUAGCAAUGCCCCUAAUCAGUUAAUGCCUCAUUAACCAAUAUUAGCCACUUUGUGAGAUAACCAGAUUGAAAUCCCAUCUCUACCCCAAGCGUGCCAGAAUUAUUCUUAUAUGGGAGGCUCUUUGUCUGUUCUCUUGAAACUUGCUUUUUUUGGUAGAAUCACUUUACAUACAGAGUCACAGAGAUACCAAAAAUGAAUGUAAGAAGGACAGCUGUUAGGACAGUUGUUAGGACAGUGGUGUGAUGGUGAGAAGCCUUCUGUCCAGUCCUUAUACACAUAGCAAGUAGUUACAGAAGCAUUUAGUGGAGUAAGAAUCAAGAGCUCAAGGCUCCUUUGGAAAAGCAGAUGCAAUAAGUAUACCAUGCAAUGAAGAAUGUGCCUAGACUCUAGUUACACUUUGUGUCUAGCCUAAUGAAUAUACAAUUCUAUGAUAGGUAGGAAAACUUCAGCAGAAGAGAUUGAAAGCAGUCUAUCCCAGUACCCUAUAGUUGUAGCUAAUAGGAGAGCAGACUGCUGCCUUCUGGGAAUGAUGGGAUAAAAAAAAACCAGUACAGUCAGGACCUCUACUUAACAGGCUUUCUAGCCAACUGAAGUUUCACUGCUUCUCCAUGAGAUAUCAAAUUGAAAACAUAAUCACUUUUGUUAAUUAGAAUUCCAGUAAGGCUUUUAGUAGAAGCAAGAAUGAGUUUCAUCUCAGUUGUCAGCUUCAUUUUACUUUUGCCAACCUGAAUAUUUUCCAUGCAAUUUCAGUAGGACACCUGUUUGCUUAAUACACUAAAAUCCUCUGCACUAUUGUACAUGAGAGGAUUGUAAUUUAAGUAUUUUAGCUGUAUUGAUUAUAAGCACGUAUUUUCAGUGUAUCCUUCAGAAUGCUCUGUGAGUCAGCGUGAAUCACUGAUUAUUCCAUUCACGUAAACCACCCUUUGAUAAAAAAUUGCUUUGAUAAAAUAUGCUUUUUUUAUUCUUGAUGUGCUGCUGGGAUAAAUACCACUCAAUAUAUUAUUUGCUUUAAUUUUGUUUUAUGAUGAGUAAUG